UACGGGGGGGGGCAAGCGUUGUUCGGAAUUACUGGGCGUAAAGGGCUCGUAGGCGGCCAACUAAGUCCGACGUGAAAUCCCAAGGCUUAACCUUGGAACUGCGUCGGAUACUGGAUGGCUUGAGUUUGGGAGAGGGAUGCGGAAUUCCAGGUGUAGCGGUGAAAUGCGUAGAUAUCUGGAGGAACACCGGUGGCGAAGGCGGCAUCCUGGACCAACACUGACACUGAUGAGCGAAAGCCAGGGGAGCAAACGGG
rnacentral:rRNA from 1 species